ACUCAUCUGGCUUCAACCACGUCUCGAGAUUCUGUGCUCUGUCCAUCUCAUUGCAAACAUGGCUAAUUCAAUCCAAAGGAAGGGCGGAUCAAAUAAAAAUCAUGUUAAGACUUCUACUGUAGGGUUGGACCAUUUGAUUAAAAAAUUCCCCGAUGCCUACAUACCCUGUGUCGGGCUUGUAUAUGAAAAUAUAAUGGAGCCUAGCCCGCAGUUUAAAGGGAGAGGCUGGAAAAAUGGAGCACACAUGUGGAGGUCUUUCACAAAUAGCCCUGUUCAAACUGCAACAGGUGGAUCCAGUUUAGGUUUUCCAGAUAGAAUGUAGGAGACCCAGGGGAACUGGAGAUUCAGAUAAACAGUGAAGGGUGCUUUUACAAUAGCAUGUUCAAAAUAUCGCAUGGGACAUACAGACACUUAAAAACUUGGUGCCAUCUAUUUUCACUUGCUAAAACUAAUUCUGUGCCUUAGAAUCAACAGCUGGUCCUGAAUAUAAGAAAUGUAAAUGGUAUCAUAAAUACAGUGCUUUUCCACGUGUUAUGCUCAAUAAAUAAUCAUUCAAGUUGAAUAAAGUAGAACAUGGUCCUAUAUAGAAAACAUAUCCACUUUACAAAAGCUGUACAAAGGUUUUUUUCCCCCGAGCGCUAGGGAGCGACACAGGGCCUUGUACAGGACGCAAGUGCUCUACCACUGAGCUCCAACCCCAGCCCCGAGGAAGAGACUUUUAUUCUAAUUUAAAAUUCGAAGAAACCGAGGCUCUGAGACUUACGUGAGUUUUUCGGGUUUGUACAAUUAGAAGCGGGUAUUGAUGGCAUACUCACCAAAGUCUCUCUGACUUACAAAUAAUUCUGUACAAACAUCCAAAAAGUUGAGAUUUCUCCUAGUUAAGGGAAAAAAAUGGUAUAAGACAGAUCAAUUAUGCUCCAGGGACAGGAAGUCUGUCACUUUGCCAAUGGGAAACUUAGGACGACCCAUCAACUCAGCGGCUGGAGCAGCUUGAGGAGACAUUUCUGUGCAUAUGGAGAGACCUAGAGGCCAGGUAUUAAGUGCAGCACUGCCCAAGUCCUGUGUGAAGGCCAGGGAAAGCCAGUCAAAGGAACUUCCUCAAGCUCCAAGCAUGAAAUGUGGACAAAGUUAGUAUAUGACUUACCUCAGAAGAAGAGAAAAUCCACAGGUGGCAGAAAUAAAGAGAACCCCAAAGUCUAAAGGAGAAGUGACUCAUGGGACAUCAGGUGUUGGAAGACAGUUCUGUGGGGAGGGGUCAGGUUUUCCUGCUCACAGUGCACAGCCCCUGAGGUCUUUGAGUCGUCCCAAGCAGCUCUAUUGGAGGCUCCUACUGACUGCUGGGAUUCUUGAAGGAGAUCCUGUCUAUGCAAAAAGGAUUAGAACUCCACUCGUGACCUCAGGAAAUAUACCUACCUGGCCCACAGGGUUCAGGAACCCCAGAUUUAGAAAUCAGCCCACGACAUCCAGCUGUGGCGGAACCCUGAGGCCCCGCAAAGGCAAAUAGGAAAACGCUUGGCAGGUUCACAGAUCAGCCCAGCAGGAUUCCCACCCCAGGAAGGAGGGACUUAUGCAGUUACAGGAACACAAGCCAAUCCUAAGGAAAAAAGAAAAAUGGUCACCCGAGAAAUGAGAUGUAUUUAAAAAGUGUUUGCUUUAGAACAUAAAAGAAGGGGGAGAAAUCAGAAGACAAAAGCAAAGUCGUGUAAAAAGAGAAAUGCAGAAAAAAAGAAAAAUACAGUUAGAGGAAAUCUCAGUGUAGAUUAAACAGUAAGUCCAUGUAUCUGGAGACAAAAUCAGUUAAUGGAAGACAGCUCUGAACCGCAGGGAGGAGUGUGGAGAUGGGGAAUCCCCAGGGGCUAAAGGAGGCGGCCCUGAGAGUGAGAAGUUGAAAGUGCCCCUGAAAGGGGAGGAGACAUGUUCUAAAGACACGGUUUUGUAGUUUUCAGAACUGAAGGAAGACGUGAAUCCUCCCAUUACAAUUGUGUCAGCAACCCCAACGAGGACGAAUUUCACAGGGACAUCUCGGGAUGACAAAGACAAGGACACAUAAAAUUUCUUGUUACCAGGAGACAACGACAGUUUCCUUACAAGGAAAACUGGCCGAGCCUCCAAACCUACUUCAGAAACAACAGAAGACAGAAUGAAAGGGAAUAAUGCCCCAGUGUCCAGCUCAGCGGUCACGGAAAGGUACAGCAACAUAAGAUCAUUUUCACAGAAAGGAAGACAAUUUUACUAAUCAUAGACACUGCAGAAACCACAAAAAAAGGUGAGCCCCAAAGAAAGAUUAUUCCAGAAAGAAGGUUAGAGCUACAAAGAGCAAUAAUAAGGAAAUUGGCAAGCCCCUGGUGAACCCAAACAGUGUGGAUUUUGUAAACAACCAAAGGGCCUAUUGUGAGGAGUUAAAAACACGGUGGAUAAAUGAUGAUAACAUAAAGAUGAGGGGUUUGAAUAUGAAGCAUUAGUUUCUUCCACUUGGCAAAUAAGGGAUAUUGAUUAAAAUUGGACUUCAAUAUGUAUCCAUGCUGAAGAGUAGAAAUAAAAUACAUAUGUACAAAAGGGUAGAUGAAGAAGAGGAAGGAAAGAAAACUUCAUAGGAAAUGAGCAAAGAACGUGAUAAAUAACAUGGGAGAUAGAAAACACACAAAGAGAGGAAUAAGUUCAGAUAUAUAAUUAAUCAUAAAUAGAAAGUGAUGAAACUCACUGUUAAAAUGCAGAAAAUUUCAAAUUAAGUGAGAAGUAUUGGGCUGGGGAUGUGACUCAAGCGGUAGCGCGCUCGCCUGGCAUGCGUGCGGCCCGGGUUCGAUCCUCAGCACCACAUACAAACAAAGAUGUUGUGUCCGCCGAGAACUAAAAAAUAAAAAUAUUAAAAAUAAAGUGAGAAGUAUUCAUUAUUUAUAUACCUCAGAAGGAAGAACAUAGAAGACUUUAAAGUAAAACUAUUUUAAAACUAUAUAGUAGAAAGAAAGAAAGCUCAUAUUACAAUAUUAAUAUUCGAUAAAUCUAGAUUUUAAGGCACAAUAUCAAUAGUUGUAAAAGAGUUCUUUUUAAAGAUUAAAAGAAUAAUUCAUCAGGGACAUAUAACAAUCGCCACAUUCUACAAACGACAAAAUCCAUGAGGGGAGAUUUGUUAACCACUAUCAGAAACUGAUAGAUCAAACAAAUAAAAGCUGAAAAAGAUGUAAAUAUUUUAAUAUUAAUAUUAGUAAAGCUAAUUUAGUAGACAUUUUUAAGUUUACCCAUCAAAUUCAUAAAGCUAUCCUGACUUUGAUACAUGAACAAAUUUUUGUAAACAAACAAGUUUUUAUUUAUAAACACAAAUAAAAAUUUCACAAGCUAUAAGGAAACUGCGCCUGGUCACUUAUUAUUUUUAAAGUCCAUCAUGAUCAAGGAAGGCUUCCUCCAGAAAAUCUGUAAAGUAACUGACCACAGUAACAACUCAAGGAGGAAAAUCAGCCAAGAACUCAAGGGACACAGAGGAGGCAUUUGAUAAAAAUUCAGCCCUCUGUGUUUUAUAAAAACAAUUUAUCAAAUUAAAAAUUGGCAAGUGUCUUAACUUGAGUAGGAGAACCCAACAGAUGUGUGCAACGUCCAGAGCACUUAGAGCCGCCAGAUCUUCUCCCUGAUGCGGGAAACACCGCACAGGCACCUGCUCCGGCUUCUACCCGUCCUGGUGCAGGAGACCACAGGCACCGAGAGGCCAGAGUGUGAAGCCGCGGAAUGAGGAUCAGAUGGGGAGAAACGAAAUCUCCCAUCUGCAGACGGGAAUGAAGUCGAAUAUUUGAGAGACCUUGUAAAUUAAUAAGAUCAGAAUUCGGAGAUCUCUUUGCGGGUGAGGCAAGAGAGCCGUUUUCGGGACGCGGGUUUGGUUGACCCCGGGAGAGUCCACACGCAGCCCGCUCCGGCCAUUCCUGCUUCAGACCCGGGUUUAUUCUUCUGAGUCGUCCGUGUUGGGCGAGGGUCUUCUCUGGUCAGAUUCUCUACGUUGAGCCCUGGUUGCAUUUUCUCCUCUUGCAUUUCUGCCUCUUCUCGGAUGUCUUGUGGUGCCGCAGAGGCCGUUGGAACUACCCUGGCUCCGUGGGACAGCGGGACCUGUGUUCCCGCUCCUCGGCUCAGCGAGGGCACCGGGGGCUUUCAGCCCCGUGUUCCUGGGUACUGAGAAUUCACCAAGCUUUGCAGGAAGCUGAACGUUUACGCUUCCCUUCCAGCGAUGGGGAGAGAGGCCUUGGGGACACCUGGUGGUUCUGUGGGGUUCAGGCAAAGGACUCAGAAGUGCAAGUCCCAGGUUGAUGUCCUGCUGACUGGGGGGCUGCCACAGGAGGGGCGAAUGGCAGGAGGAGGGCCUGGCCCAGGAGGGAAAGGAAGGGAUUCAGGAGCCCUGGGCUUGAUGAGGUCCAGGGGCUCAUGAGUGGCGACUUCCUCCCUUCUCUUUCCCUCCCAGGGCUUCUCACCAGGGAGCUGUGGCAAGGCCAGUGCCCUCAGAAGCCCAAAGGUGACCUCUGACAUGAUGAGAUGUCUUCGAGGUUACAGAAGCUGCAUGGAGAGGGUGUAAGCAGCAUGCUGGAGCCCAGGUGUCCCUCCGCUGGGGGGAAGGACGCUGGCUUUUGGAAAGGCUGAGUGUUCCCCGUCUCCCACUCACGGAGUGCAGGGCCCGGAUUCCAGCCAGCAGGCCGUCCCUAUUCUCCCAGCCACACGUGGGAACUCUGACCUAGUCGCCAAGUGGCCAUAGUAGGAUGUGGGAAGCCAUCUGUCUCUGGGUGACAGCUUCUCUGGGACCCUGGUGUCUGCCAAGGGCAGAGGGACACACAUGGAUUUGAGGGUCAUUCUGUAGGUCUUCAGUGCUCCGACAAUCUCACCCACAGCAAAGGGAACCUUGGAGAGUUAUUAAAUCUCUGUGCCUCGGUUUUUCUAGUCAUUAAAUAGUUAAUAGUCAUUACACUAACGACAUGGAGAUCAUAUGACAAUAGAGUGCCUAAUGAACACCUCAGAGAGCUCAAAGUGAAACACAGAGAGAAACAGAGAGAAGGGUGCUAUGACCACUAUUCUCAAGACAAUGGAAUAAAUACUAUGGAGAAGCUUGGGUUUCAGUGGACAUGUGAUGUGACCGGGGCUUCCCAGGUAAACACAUGGGAACUGGCAUUUGUGUGCACUUAUUUUUCUAAUUAAAAAAAAAUACUGAGACAAAUCAAUGUAUAAGAAAUUCAUGUAUAUUUAUAAUAGUGAAAAGUGACUGAAGUCAGGAUUUGAAAUUCCUUGCCCUCCCUUCCCCUGCACCCCCAAACUUAAUCCUUGCUGACCGGAUCUGGUUUCCCUGCCUUUAAACUGAAAUGUGCUCCCCAAUUACACUUUAUAUAAACAGCGAGCACACCUUCCAGGCACACAGAGCUUCAUCUUUGUGAAUCACUGUGUCCUCUGAGCCUCCUUAGAGCCCUUGGGGGGUGCCUGCCGCGGCCUCUGCUCUGUAGCUGCCCGGUUAGUACCAUGGUACCACAGCCCUCUGUGGGGAAUCCAAGUCACGAGUCCUACAGGAACCACAGUUGAAUGAAAGAGAUUAUAUACGUAUUUCUGUCUGGGUCUGGUAGAAAGAGGAGCUGGGGAGUAUUUUAUACGGGAAAGUGUCACAAAUCACCAUGUUGAAUCAUAUUAAAAUCUGGAGAAGCAGGCUUGCUCCAAGUCAGACUAUUAGAAGAGACUCCCAACUCUCAUACUGUGUCAAAGUCCACGUUUUUCUCCCGUGCGUGGCUGCAUGGUUUACGGCCUGCUCAUUCCAAGAAGGUGUGUGUUAUGUAAUGUUUAACCAGUCAGAGGAAUUUCCCAGCCUCAAAGGCAUUCGGUACAGACAACAGAGACAUGUGAUUGCCUGAGUAGAUUCUAAAGUUCAUGGCGUUACCAGUCGCUGGGAGAAUAACCUUGACUUAUCAGGGUGUGUAUGGUGAGAAAUAAGGAAAGCUCACUCUUGUCACAUUUUCCUAUAAACGCUCCAGGACUCUUGGCCUCCUGCUGCCCUGACCCCUCGGUGGCCCUGCUGUGGUGGCACCACCAGGCUGCCUGCUCCUGCACCCCUGAUCGCUCAGUUAUCCAUUAACCGGGACACUGUGCGUAAUGGCACCCCCGCCUGCAGGGGACUGGCGCAAGCGCGUCACCCAGAGGAGAGCAUGACGAGGGUUGUGUGAGUGUGAAAGCCAUGCAGUGUUAACAAUUAGGUUAACAAAGAAGCAAACAAAUAAAGCUUAUGCAAAGGAAAAAAAGGUGGAAGGAAAUAAUCAAAAUAUCAACUCUCUUUGGGAAUUUUUAACCAAGUAACAAGGACAGGGAAGGCACUGGUGAGUCCUUCCAGAACAAUAACGUUGCGCAAUUCUUUAUGAACUACGCAAGCGUGCUUCCCCCGUGGAUCGAUUCUCUGGCGUCAUCUCUUUCUGGGUUGAUCUCCUCUCCCCUGGAUCUAAGCCCAUUUUCUGUUGCCAUAACCGAAUGCCACAGAGAGAGCAAUCAAUAAAGAAGGGGGUUUAUUCAGCGCCCAGUGCAGUCCUUGGCAUCUACAGGCCCUCAAAAGAUGUUUGAUGAAUGAAGAAACAAAAUCAAACACAAUUUCCGCUCUCGGUCACCUGCUAAUUAACGCAGGCAGCUGUGACACAGUGAAAAGACAGACCCGUGUGAGAAUGGAGUGAGCUGUGGCCUAGUGGCAGAGCACUGGCCUGGCACGCAUGAGGCCUGGGCUCAGCACUGCCCAAAAUAAACAAACAAACCAACAAACAAAGGAAAAUUAAUACAAGAUGGAAAAACAGAAAUUUACUCCAAGCAACUUUCAGAGACGUAAACUAACUUUCCAUAUUCUGGGUCUCCCAAUGUUUUACUUUGUUGUUCCUGUUAACAAUUGUCAUCUGAGAUUUUGCUGUUUGUAUCCUGCCUAUCAAAAAUUCUGUGGUUUUGUGGUAAGAACAAGAACCAGUUUCUAUGCAGCCAUGGUAAUCAUUGCUUGUGGAAAACAAAACAAAAUAAACAACUCUUUUCCUUGAGCUCAUAAAAGAAAA